UACGAAGGGGGCUAGCGUUGUUCGGAUUUACUGGGCGUAAAGCGCGCGUAGGCGGGUCACUAAGUCAGGGGUGAAAUCCCGAGGCUUAACCUCGGAACUGCCUCUGAUACUGGUGACCUGGAGAUCGGGAGAGGUUGGUGGAAUUCCGAGUGUAGAGGUGAAAUUCGUAGAUAUUCGGAGGAACACCAGAAGCGAAGGCGGCCAACUGGCCCGAUACUGACGCUGAGACACGAAAGCGUGGGGAGCAAACAGG
rnacentral:rRNA from 1 species